UGAGGUCGCCGAGGGGCGGCCCCGGACGAGGGAACCCAGUACCCGGAGCGCGACAAGACUGGCCGAA
rnacentral:ncRNA from 1 species